ACAGAGGGUGCGAGCGUUGUUCGGAAUUACUGGGCGUAAAGCGCGCGCAGGCGGCUCUUUAAGUCCGCUGGUCAAAGACCGGGGCUCAACCCCGUGUCAGCCAGGGAUACUGGAGGGCUGGAGACAGGUAGAGGCAAGCGGAAUUCCGGGUGUAGCGGUGGAAUGCGUAGAGAUCCGGAAGAACACCGGAGGCGAAGGCGGCUUGCUGGACCUGGUCUGACGCUGAGGCGCGAAAGCGUGGGGAGCGAACAGGA
rnacentral:rRNA from 1 species